rnacentral:misc_RNA from 1 species
GUUCACAGAACUACUAGUACAGAUGAGUCUAUUCUCUUUUACAAUUUAUUAUUAGAUUCUGUGAUAAUAUUACACUCACAAUACCUUGAUGCAGCUGGUUCUAACCCGUGCUGGUCUUUUCGGGAAUAUUAAAGCACGAUGAUGAAAAUUAAUACAGCAGAGAACUUGGGCCUGAGUUUAUCAGUUAGUUUUGUUCGAGAAGCCCUAAGGUGCAGAGAUAUCCCCCAUCAGCGUAAUCACAACAUUUCUGCUGAUUGUAGUGCACUUAGAAUACUGCUAUUUCAUCCGUUUUUUCAUAGUAUCUACAAAAGCAGUAUUGAUUCAUUUUAUCUUCCACAUCUGCAAAGAAAGCAACAAAUGUUCUUCGAAGGGUUGUCAGUGAUCAUAGUGAAGUAUUAUCCAAUGAAAUGAUGAACACUAUAAACACUUUCAUGAUCACAGUUAACGUCUUUGAUGUACGCAUAGCACCAUUUGGCUGUUACACGAUUAAGAGGGAGAAUGUGAAAAGUGCUGUCUCUUAUUGUUUGGCCUACAUCAUGUUCGUCGUGCAAGUUCAUACUUUUCUCAUAAAAUAAAACUAUUACCGUAUUGAAAUUAAUUCUCAAAAAUAUAGGCUAUAGGUAUUAUUUUCUGUGUGCUACAGAAUGUACAAUGGAGCUGUAAGUGGUUUCAUAGGAAUAAUUGCUAAUAUGGCAAUUAAUUGCUAUACAUAGCAAUAAUUAUUAUUAGUAGGUUGAAAGUCCAUUAUACUAAAAUAUUAAUUAAAAUAUUGAUAUUUGAAUAAAUGACAUA